CGCACACAGACUGUCCUCGUCAGCCACCGCUGUUAGAGUUGACCAAUCUCGAGCAGUUUUCUUCUGUUGACGGUUCAGAAGGUGUUGCAAGAGAUAUUUCCAAGCCUGGUUCGACUGAAACAGUUAUGAUCACAGUGAGCUCACCCAGUACAGUGACUGCGGAAGUAGAUGAAAGUCUCUAGAAAUUACGCCAGGCACUGAAUAGUGGCAACAUUCAGUCUA